GCAGUCAGCACUUGACUUCAGUAAACAGCAGUAGCAUUUCCAUCUAGGCAAAAUUGAGUCGUGCCUAACAACUCCAUGAUAUGCUUGACAUAGAUGCAUAUAUCGCUGACCGUCAGUGUUUCGUCUGUGGGUUUCAACUACAAUAUGGAAUAUCUUCACAACUUGCCCCUUUUCUGUUUCGUUCUCCUGCAACCCUUUCUCUGCCUAUAUCAUUCAUUUGCUCUAUUCAUUUUGAUGAAAAAUGUCUGACUUCAGUCAAUAGAAUCUGGUAUUUAAAUAAAAAUUCCAUUCCAACAUUGUUUCUUCGUCAAACUGCUGAUCUUAAGAAGUCGGGAAAAUUGCAGUCAGAUAUUGAAUGCCAAUUGAAACAAUACGAAUAUGCAGUUAGUGAAUUUCAAACCUCAAAAACUUCAUUGUCUGUAGUGGAAAUUGAAGCAACAAAGCUCAUAUUAACCAAUGACGAAUGUGGUAUUCCUCAGAACUUGACGAGUCGACAGCGUGAAUUACUAUUUAACGAUAACACUCAAACCUGGUCCUACGAAUGUGUUCGUCUUCCCGAAAACGAGUUACUGAUUUCAUCGCCUUCCUCAUUGAUCCCCUUCAUAGAGGGUGAUAAGGAAGUUUCUACUCCAUGUGUUUCUCUUGAAUGCACAACAGCACCUAGUUCUGAUUCUAUUGUUGCACCAUUUGUUUAUCGUUGUUCAAGCAUGACUGAAAUUCCUCUUCGCAUAUCUACUCGACAAAAAACUCGGCCUCAGAGAUACCGAGGUACCGAUAAUGAUUUGAAUAUGAGACAUGCAAGAAUGAUGAAGGCGAGGUCCAGCUCAACCAAACUUAGAAAACCAUUGAUCAAUGCAGUCAGAUCUGUUAAUGUGGAGCCCGUUGUUGAAUGUGAAAAUUUGGAAAGUUUUCAUGUCGAUGACGUAGACGGUUUUCUUAUUUUUUCAUUUGCUAAUUCUGAGGAUCUUGUCAAGUUUUGUGCUGAUCAGCUAUAAGAUCCGUGGGCACUUCGACCGGAUGGUGCGCUGACUGCUUCGCUAAUAGGCAUUCCUAUUUCAUCAGUCAGAUGUUGGAUUCUUGGCCCAUUUGUUGAAAUUUUUAGGAUUAAGUAUCGGACAUUGUCAAGCGAGCGCGAGCUAUUUUGAACUGAGACAUGGAAUUUCCUUCUUUAAAAAAAAGUUGGACGUUACAAAACCAUCUAAUAAGCCAAACGUCGAAAAAAAAAGCGGAAAAAUUUACAAUAACCAUAUCAAAAAUGUGUUUCUACUCAUUACGGUGUACUUCGAUAUUCUUCAUUAUGGAAUUGAAGAAGGUAAUCUAGCAAAUGAUUUUCACUGGGCCAAAUCAUCUGAAGAAGUUUUCUGACGGCUGUCAAUUUUACCGACCGGCUGUAGGGUACGUCCCAUUCCGUGCUCAAAACUUCACUGCAAAAGUAUUUGUGUUUUCAAAUAUAUUGUAGGGACAGCAAGUAAAACCUCAAAUCUAACUUUAACACGACAAUCUUAAGUUUCCCUAAAUUAGAAUGCAGCAAAUGGUGCUCACCUCAACCUCUUUAGUAGUAGUAUUGUCUGGCAGUUGUCCUCAAAAUAAAUAGCAGCAUAGAAUUGGA